rnacentral:rRNA from 1 species
AAUAGAUACCCAGGUAGUCCACGCCGUAAACGAUGAGUGCUAAGUGUUAGGGGGUUUCCGCCCCCUUAGUGCUGCAGCUAACGCAUUAAGCACUCCGCCUGGGGAGUACGGUCGCAAGACUGAAACUCAAAGGAAUUGACGGGGGCCCGCACAAGCGGUGGAGCAUGUGGUUUAAUUCGAAGCAACGCGAAGAACCUUACCAGGUCUUGACAUCCCACUGACCGCUAUGGAGACAUAGUUUUCCCUUCGGGGACAGUGGUGACAGGUGGUGCAUGGUUGUCGUCAGCUCGUGUCGUGAGAUGUUGGGUUAAGUCCCGCAACGAGCGCAACCCUUGAUCUUAGUUGCCAUCAUUUAGUUGGGCACUCUAAGGUGACUGCCGGUGACAAACCGGAGGAAGGUGGGGAUGACGUCAAAUCAUCAUGCCCCUUAUGACCUGGGCUACACACGUGCUACAAUGGACGGUACAAACGGUUGCCAACCCGCGAGGGGGAGCUAAUCCGAUAAAACCGUUCUCAGUUCGGAUUGUAGGCUGCAACUCGCCUAC